rnacentral:lncRNA from 1 species
CGGAGAAGAACAGCUCACGGGCUAAUCAUGGCUGAACUCCAGGUGAGUGAUGAGUGAAUCACCCAGUAACGAACACUAGGCACUCAGAAAACAGAUUAGGAGACGGUGUGCCUAGAGGUAAGGAGGAGUUGCUCAUCAAUUCAAAGAGAAGGUCAGAGAGAGGUAGGAGAAGCCUACACAGUAUGCUCUUUCUUACCAUAGACCCAGACUUCUAUGGGCUGGCACAUGUAAAAAGCCUGACAGUGUGACUGCUCUUAUGCCAAUCAGAUGCCCUAGGUGGGAAUUCCCCUGCUUACAGAGCCAAGGCAGAGAGGUGAAGCGGGAAGGAAACAGCACCGUGAGAGGAAGCUGGGCAAAGAGCAAUCGACGAGAGAGAGAUGAAACACAACGUAAGCUAACCAUCAUGCAGGCACCGGAGCUGGAGACCACGCUAAUUUUUUCUGCACGGAGCACUUUGUAAUCCAGCUAGACUUGCAAGACCAAAAAAGCACUGUAAAAGAGCCUCAGCAGGAUGGCAGGUGAGUGUGACUACAGAUCACAAUUCUUUGGGUGGGAUUCACAUGCAUAAACCUCUAGGUAUCUAAACUAUGGUGCUCCAUGUUAAGUUGAUGGGGUCAUUUCUCUUGGAGUCAUCUUAUCUUAGCAUGAGUCUCUCAGAGACAUGAUGUGAAUUUCCCCUAAAAACUGUUAUUUCUCUCCAUUGAUGUUGGAGGACAUGGUGGGUGACCAGCUCAGCUGUGGGCAUCUAAAGACAGGGGGGAGGAAUGUGUCUUACAAGACCCAAAGCUCUACAUCAGA